rnacentral:sRNA from 1 species
UGAGUGGGCGUUCCCACAGGGGCUGAGCUUCACGGGAGGAAGGGGGAAGUGCAUGGUGGGAUGAGCAGCAAGAACAGCUGUUAGUAAAGGGGAACCUGAGGAAAGGGAAAGUGGGCCCAGGGAACGGCAUCAUUAGCCUUCUGCUUCAGGUGGGAACCUUUUUGGGCUAACUGGGUGAUAUUUGGCAAUAAAAACUAAGCUGAUCAAGACGCAAAUGUUCCUGUAGCAUAGAACUGGGGUCAUCAGGGAAAAGCAGACUGUAGCAUUUGUUAUGGGGAAACCCAGAGAUACAGUGGGAACAAUUCCUUGUGCCUCCUCCCUCAACCCACAGGAGUUGUUCUCAGCUGAGAACCCACUGCUAAGAAGACCUCCGCUCGUUCACUCAAUAAGAUCACCAUGGAAACAUGCUUCUGGGUCUGAUCAUGAGAGUGUUUCCAGAAAGGUUAAAUGGAAGAGAAACAGCCCACCUUGAAUAUGAGAAGGAUCAUCCCAUUGACUGGGGUCUCAGAGUGAGUCAAAUGGAGAAAGUGCCCUGAGUACUAGCAUUCAUCUUUCUCUGUUACCUGACUAUGGAUGUAACAUGACCAACCACCUCACACACUGACAGCCAUGCUAUCCCCACCAGGAUAGACUGUAUUGCCUAAACUAUAAGCCACAAUAAACCGUUCCCAACUUAAGCUGCUUCUUGUCUGGUU